GACCUUGUGGCGCAACGGUAGCGCGUCUGACUCCAGAUAAGAAGGUUGCGUGUUCAAAUCACGUCAGGGUCA
rnacentral:tRNA from 2 species